rnacentral:lncRNA from 1 species
GGCGGGCUGAGCAUCGGCUUUUGGUAGCCUCACAGGAGACAGAGGGAGCGGGGAGGACCCGGAGGAUGCUGCGGAGGAUGCGAAGUUUGUGCUGGCUGCUGCUCCCCCUGGUUGCGGGAAUCCAUCCAGAAUGCAAGAUAUUCCAGCAAGUAGUGAAAGAGGAGGCACUCUGCCUAGAAAAGAAUGAAUCUGUUUCAUCUGAUUUUAAAGGUAACGGUCUUGAUUGACAAGUUCUGAUAUUAGUAUCUCUUGAAUCACUUCAGGUUUGUGAUGUGAAGAUACCAGUUACUGAAUCAAAAUUUGAUUCCACAACCCUAUUUUAUUUGGCUUGAAGUGUUUCUCCUUCUAUUGGAUGCAGCUUUACCUCAUCUGAUUUUAGACGUCUGUAAAUGCUCAAUGUCUAAGUCAGGAUAUGUCUUCUUAGAUUCCCUUAAAGUAAAUGUAGAAAGGUGGGUGUCCUUAGAAAAAUUUUCAUUGCCUUUGCCUUAGAUGCUUACUUUAGGAUGA